AGAAUCAACGCUGGCGGCGUGCCUAACACAUGCAAGUCGAACGCGAAAGUGGAGCAAUCCAUAAGUAGAGUGGCGAACGGGUGAGUAACACGUGGGUGACCUACCCUCGAGUGGGGGAUAACAUCCCGAAAGGGGUGCUAAUACCGCAUGACAUCCUGUCUUUGAACAGAUGGACAUUAAAGCCGGGGAUCGCAAGACCUGGCGCUCGUGGAGGGGCCCGCGCCCGAUUAGCUAGUUGGUGAGGUAACGGCUCACCAAGGCUUCGAUCGGUA
rnacentral:rRNA from 1 species